UGUGAAUGGGUGAAUGGGUCUGUGACUGUGAAGCACUUUGGGCUCUCGAAGGAGGGUAGCGAGCGCUAUACUAGUAUACGCCAUUUACCAUGAUAUUACCCAACACUUAUCUCAAUUUCUAACAUACGAUACAUAGGGAUUGACAAGAAAAGGUAGUGAUAGGCAACGUCCCAAUGUGGAAGAAGGGAAUUUCUUACUUGUGGUCCCAAAAUGUGCAAUCAGGUGCUUGCAAACUUCUUUACUGCUUUUCUUUAUGGUGUGUCAUAAACCAAAGGCCACUGUUUUUCAGAACCGUGUUUAUAGAAUGCUGAUAGAAAACCGUGUAAGGCUCUUUCCGACAAAAACAGAGCGUCAUAAGGACAUCAGAGAUAAUGUGAAAUGAAGGAAUGUGAUUGGAUCCAAGCGUGCCCUUAAGUUAUAAAUACGGAAUACAUACGGAGGAGUCAAUAAACACAGAGCUUUGACCGGUGGCAACAAGAUAUACUGCAUUUGUCACUGUUGCCUCACCUGAGUUCUUCAAGUCCAUGCAGACCAGCUGAAACAGCAGACCAGGAUCUGUUAAAGCUUGAAGUCAUGGCAUUGGGUUUGGAAAAAUUAUCUGAACGUGACAGCUUGGAGAUCGUGCAACUCCGACCUAACGGAAUACGGCAAAAAUACUGCAGUAAGAGAAAGAGGAGCUCUAAAGACUUUUUCCAUCCAUUGAUGAACUACGAGCAGCAGACGGAGCUUCAGGAGGGAAAUAGUGGGAGCAAAGAUGGACUUCCAGCAAGCAGGUAUCCCUUUCAUCCUCUCACGUGGACAAUCAGCAGGACAUCCAGCGCACUCAACUCUUACCAUCUGUCAACGUGACUGUUGGUCAUGCUCCUGCCUGUGUGGAGAUUCAAAUCCACUCCGUUUCCACCUUUCCUCCAUGACAACAAUGGUCACCCACACCCCUCUCCUCAAAUCCAGCUCUUCAAGAUGGGUUUUUUGGUUGCUGGCAGGUCACUCUUGAAUGUCCUCGGUUUGCCUCUCAAAAGACACAAAUCCAAGUCACCUCAACAGGUGUCUUUUACUGCAUCAGAACAGCUGUUCAAACGCUUUCUGAUGGAAUCCGCUCCUCGUCUGGAGCGCAAACCUCUCAAAAAGCUGUACAAAUACAGAAAAAAAAGACUGCACUUUGAGGGUUUUUAUAGAUAUGUAUAUUAUUUUUCUAUUAUAUUUAACAAACACUCGUAAAAUACAUGUAAAAUCUUUGAUUGUUCACAUGACUUACAUUUAAGUCCAAGCACAUUUUUAUUAAAUUAAAUAAGCUAUUCCUUUCUCCUUGCUUGAGUGUUUCUUUGUAUUGUUUGUAAGAUAUUUCUAUUGACUCAUAUUCUCCUGACUACCAGCAAUGCAUUUUUUUCCUCUUUAGAGGAUAUUUCUAAACCUAAAGAUAUCUCCCAACUGAUGCAUACUGCUGAAUUAACUAUUUUGGGAAUGGCAGAAGACAUUUGAGGCUUUUCUGGAGGGUGGGUUCUGGGAAUUGUAGUUUUUGGUGGAUUUAAAAAAAAAAAAAAGAUUGAUUGAUUUGGUUUAUUGUUUUAUUUCAACCAUAAAUUGCAAUCAAUACAAAAAAAUCACAGGUUUAUUAAGCUCAUUUCAGAUAUGGUGAAAUGUAUUGCUUAAAAAAAACCACAAUUAUUUUUUUUUUAAUAUAGUGACUAUUAACCGAUUCAGAUCAAUCACUGCUAACUAUUUCUUGCUCCAACAUAUCCCUCAAGAAUUGGCGACUAUAUUGACAUCAUUUAAUUAGUCAUUUUUCACCACAAAAUUGUCACUUUGGACAAUAGAGACCAAACAAUAAAAUACUACAUGUUUUUGAGUCUUUGCUAUAACUAAUCAAUCAAAGUGAUCACCUGGUGAAAGGUAAAUGUCUUUUGAACAUCAGCAUACCAGGAUUUGUUCACAAAAUCAAUGUCCAAUCCAGUCCCUUUUUUAACAUCCUGCCAACAAUUCCCCACCUGCCCUACCUCUUGGUAUCAGUAAACUUCCUGCAAAAAAAAAAA